rnacentral:rRNA from 1 species
CCAAGGAGUCUAACAUGUGCGCGAGUCAUGGGGUUCUGCGAAACCUAAAGGCGCAAUGAAAGUGAAGGCCGCCUCGGGUUGGCCUAGGUAGGAUCCCCGUCCUCCCAGGAAGGGGCGCACUACCGGCCCGUCUCGAUCUCGCCGUAGAUGAGGCGGAGCAAGAGCGUACACGUUGGGACCCGAAAGAUGGUGAACUAUGCUUGAGUAGGACGAAGCCAGAGGAAACUCUGGUGGAGGUCCGUAGCGAUUCUGACGUGCAAAUCGAUCGUCAAACUUGGGUAUAGGGGCGAAAGACUAAUCGAACCAUCUA